rnacentral:rRNA from 1 species
AGCCGAACGGCAAGUUGAGUAGCAAUACUUGACCUAGAGUGGCGUAAGGGUGCGUAACACGUAUGCAAUCUACCCUCAACAGGAGGAUAGCUCCCCGAAAGGGGAAUUAAUACUCCAUAAGAUCACGGGAAGGCAUCUUCGAGUGAUUAAACUACAAGGGGUUGAGGAUGAGCAUGCGUUUGAUUAGUUAGUUGGUGAGGUAACGGCUCACCAAGACGAUGAUCAAUAGGGGAACUGAGAGGUUGAUCCCCCACACUGGCACUGAGAUACGGGCCAGACUCCUAUGGGAGGCAGCAGUAGGGAAUAUUGGUCAAUGGGUGAGAGCCUGAACCAGCCAUGCCGCGUGCAGGAAGAAGGCCUUCUGGGUUGUAAACUGCUUUUGCCGGGGGAUAAAAUAGCUUUGCGAAGCAAAUUGAAGGUACCCGGUGAAUAAGCCACGGCUAACUACGUGCCAGCAGCCGCGGUAAUACGUAGGUGGCAAGCGUUGUCCGGAUUUAUUGGGUUUAAAGGGUGCGUAGGCGGUUCUAUAAGUCAGUGGUGAAAUACUCCGGCUCAACCGGAGAGGUGCCAUUGAUACUGCAGAACUUGAGUACAGACGAGGUAGGCGGAAUUGACGGUGUAGCGGUGAAAUGCUUAGAUAUCGUCAAGAACACCGAUAGCGAAGGCAGCUUACUAGACUGUAACUGACGCUGAGGCACGA